UGUCUCUGGAAGUGGAGUAUCAUAAGGGACAUAAAAGCACACUUGUGAUCUUUGAAUGGCAAGAAAUAAAAGGCACAUCAGAGCUGAAGAGCAGCGACAAGAAAACGCUAUAGAAAGCUACUGUAGCACGCUUUACGGACAUGAGUGCUGAAGUAAACACAGUGCUCGACAUAUCAGAAAUCAUUUCUACCACUCAGCCAUCAAAGAGAGCACAUGGAUCCAAAGUAGAGCGACUGAAUGAGGGAUGGAAAGAGAAAAAGGUUGAAGAGUUGAAGAGGGAGGGUGCGUGGGGGGGAAAGGCACGACGCAGAGUGGCGAAUGAACACCAUGGUUGUACGAGGUUGGCACAGUGCCAUCCACUCAGCGGUGGUGCCAAAAAGGGUGUGUAGGCAGGGUGGCAUUACAGAGGAGAGAGGAGGAGAGACAGAUAGUGAGAGAAAAGAGAGGCAUCACCUUCCUGUCAAUUCUCCAAAGGAAAUGUUCCCGAGCAUCAAAAGUUGGAGUUCUUUGAAGAUCCGUCCGCCAGCUCGUCAGCAUGGCAACUCUACGAAAAAGCGCAGAUCUCUUCGCCAAGACCUUUUCAUUUUGGUUCCUGCAGGCUUCGCCAUCCUGCGUUUUACCGUCUCCUUCGUGACCGUGCCAGGCUCCAAGUAGGCACGUCCCCUAGAGAGUAAGCAGCACAUGCCCUGGUGUCGAUGCCACUCGACGCGGGUACGAUGGCAUCUGCUUUGUCAUAAUGGAGAUAUGCGACUUGUCUUGUUAUUCUCGUUGGCAAGCACCAACCUUCGGCAGAGUGCCAGGAUCUCUGCGUCGCCGUAUGCCGCUGGGAAGUUGGCGGUGGCUUGGGAAUGGCAGAGUGCCAGCAUGUUCCUGCGGUAACCAGCCCCCGACGCGUGCCACUUGGCAAAGACAAAGAGCCCUAGGGACGAAAUACAAAACAAGAUUGAAAAACACAGUGAUCCGACAGCUUAAUUAACACUCACAGAGUUUGUUGGGUUAAUUAGUGUGACAGAUUUGGUGAGGAGGAAUGUGGCAGGAACACUUGUGAGAACAAAAGUGAUGGGCAACCCAGACUGAAGGAAUGUCAGCCGAUGCCAGCGAUACGCAUGCCAGCAGUAACUCCACCGACUCUGUGCCGAUGGCACUUUAUAUUCAACAGGGCUUGUAAUAAGGAAAAAUGGAAAGAAAAGGAAGAAUCAUAAACAGUCUGCUGUUCAAAAACUAGUUUGUUGGACAAGACAGAAGAGGAAACAACUGUGGAUCUAAGCAAACAGGGAGGAGCUAAAGAAACCACAGGCCUUGACUAACCCUUCAGUGACUCAACAGAUUGAUCAAAACGCUAAGUCAUUAUGGAAUAUGGCUUUUAUCUAUUUCAAAAACAAAAAAGAAUGGUUUGCACUAAUGAACUACUUUUCUACUUUUUGUAGUACGUCGGGAACACCAAAAGGAUAUAUGCUGCCGGGUGUUAACAUGGUGAACUUUACCAGGAGGAUGCACUACUUUUGCAGUUUUACAGAGUUUUCCAAAAGCAAGGAGAGGAUCUUAAACCACAAUAUGCACAGUAAUGAGUGACUUUGUACUUGAAUACUAGUCCGAAACUUCCUGUUGAGUCAGAGAGAAGAGGAUGCCGCUCAGAGAGUGAGUGAGAGAAUUCAGUCCCUCACUGGAUGCGUUUGACAUUGUAGAGGAGUAUAAAUAAUGCAGAUUUUCUCUCCUCCUCUUCCUUCUCAAGCUUUCCGAAGGAAGGGAUUUACACACCUUUGUGCUUUGAAUCCUUCGUUGGCAUCAGUCUCGUUAAGCGAAGCAGGAUUGGUUCCGAAAUGGGCAUUGUCUUCAUCUAGCCUUCGAUAAACAAGUUCAAAUUAGACGUUAAUAACCUCGCGAAAUGGGCUGUUUAAUUUGCGGUUCCUGUUGUUUUUUUGCUUUUACGUCUUUCUUUGUACCGAUUGCGGACAAUUAUGUACGGAUAUGCUAAUGGCGCUGAAUUAAUGAGGUUUGUAUCGCUGGGAUUCUCUUCUUUACUCCUGUGGGGAUCUUAAUUUUACCUCAUCUUUAUUAUGUAAAUGGAUUAUGCCAAAAAAAAACAGUACACACACACACAUAUGCACACACUCAUACACUAACACAAAAGGGGCGUCAAAGGAAGAGGGAAUAAGGCAACAGUGAGGGGGGGGGGUACACUCCCGCAGCAGCACCAAAAUGCAAGAAGCUGCAAAGAAAUCUGAAAGGCUCUUUUCCCUUAAUGCAACAUGUACCAAGACGCGAGACAAACAAUUUUUUUUUCUUUUGUAGAUAUUUGUGUUGCAGCAAUCCUGCAAUGGAGUGACAGAGACGAAGAUGGGAUUUACUAGAUGAAAAGAGAGAGAGAAAGAGCGAGUGAAAGUGAGAGAGGGAAUGCUUAAUAUCCUGCGCUUAAUCAUGGCACAUGAGAUUGGCUGUAUGCAUAUCUCAUUUGCAUCUCAUUAAAUUGCUCGUGCACCUGCAGAGAGAGAGGGGAGAGGGGCAGAGGACAGCACAACGAGAAAUGAGGGAGUCGUUUCAAUAAGCAGACUGUUUCUAAAAGAGCUACUUCAUUUUAUGUUAAAUUAUCAGAAUUAUUUUUUUUAACACAUUACACUGUGCACAUUAAAAUGCUGCUUGUGGUAGUAUUUUGAUGAUUCAUUCUGUUUUUUGACUUAAUACCGAUAUUUUCUAUGAAUAUUAAAAAUAUAUAUUGCAUUUGCAUUGCAAAAGUGAAUGAUCUAUGAUGUAUAGAACAUAGUUUUAAUCAUAUAAUGUACUAAGAUAUUCUACGCCAUUGCUCUGUGACAUUGACAUUUUCUGGGAGAAUACAACUGAGAUUUUAAGAUAUUGAUGCAUAAAACAAUCCAUAUGUUUCAGAGGUUGUGAAGUCCAA